ACCGUGCCCUGCUGGGUGGAAUUUUUUAAUUGCAAAUAAUAUAAACCAAUUUAUAUAGCUUAAAGAAAGUGGAGCUUACUCCGACAGUACAGAGCUGUCUCACAAAAGUGACAGCAGGGACCCACCAGGCCUCAGGAGUCAACCAGAACCAAGAAAUCAACUGCUGUUGUUGCUGCUUCUGCUGUACCCCGGCCUCUGAAUUUUCUCUUGCCCGUGAACUUGGCAGCCCACAGAGCUAAGGCUGAUAGUUCCUCUUUUUGACAGCGCAGCCAGACAGAGAUGAGUCUCCUAGACUCAAUUAUAUAUUUGCAUGUAAGAGACCUGACACAGGCGAUUUCGUGCUGAAGUACUUGGGGUGAUUGCUGCGCUGCCUGCAAUUUACUUUCAAAUAGCUCAGCAGAAACGAUACGCAGGGACAAGGAGAGAGCAGACCUGGUGAAACGUUAACAACUGAUGAAUCCAAGUGAAGAGUGCAUGCCCUUACUUGUACUGUUGUUUCAACUUUUCUGCAGGAGGUUCUUAUUUCCCCCUCAUUGAGUCUGGGCUGGCCGUGUGGCUGUUCAACCAACAGAAAGCAGCAGAAGUGUACUGUGCAGUCCGGGGCCCAGGCUUUUAGAGAACUGUGGCUUUCUCUGCCUCCUUCUUGGAAUCCACUUACCAUGUUGAGAGGGGCCCAAGCCACAUAGAGGCCAACAGCCAAGUAUUUGCAGCCAUCUGGGUGAGCCAUCUAGGACAUUCCACGCCAAUCAGACCCCUGGAUUGGAGCAGUGGAGCAGACAUGGAGCAGAUGCAGCCCAGCGAAGGCCAGUAUCACAGGCCAGAACAAAAUGUUUUAAGCCAUUAAAUUUUGGUGUGACUUGCUCUGCAGCCAGAUAACUGAAAUAGGUGUAACCGAAAAGUCCGUAAGAAGGAAGAUUUACCUUGCUGACCAAUGCAGAAUAACAAAGCACAGGAAAUAACAUUUGCUGGGUCGGAAGACAACUGUCUGGAACAGGUGAUGACAUCCUUAGCCUUUAGUAGGUUUUGACUUCAAAACUGACCCCGGCUUUCAUGCCUCUUUUUGAUGCUCAACACGGACAAUUUCAAAAAGAAAAAAUUUCACUUUAAUCCAGCCUCACCCCCACAUGUGUGUUUCACACAGACCUUAUUUUUUAAACAGAGU
rnacentral:lncRNA from 10 species